GAGGACUUAACGACAGAAGUUUCAGGCGAGCUGAGAAACUCCCUACAAGGGAGUUCACGGGUUGAUAACACCUACAAGCAGUUAGGGGCUGGGACAUUUCUGAGGUGGUCAACGCCAACCCCGUUGUAUUGACAACUUUGAGACUUCAGGGGAAGAGAUGUGAAGAUGGAAGCGUCCACCUCAAAAGUUCCUCUUUUUGCCCUGUAAGCCCCCUGAGCUUCUGCGCAGUCUCCACUUCCCCCAAGACUGCCGGUCCUCAUUGUUCUACCAAAAGGACGCUGCUUCUGUUGAGCGAGAAGAUAAGGACCAAAGCAUUCCAAGAAAAGACCAAAGGAAUACAUUGUGUCAAGAAAAGACCAAAGGAAUACAUUGUGUCAAGAAAAGACCAAUGGAAUACAUUGUGUCAAGAAGAGAUGAUUAGGAAGACUUCAAGGCUAGAGUGGAGUGGAAGAGGCAGGCAAUGGUGGAGGAUGAGAAGAGAGUGUGAGCAGGAGCCAGAUCAAGCAGGACCUUGUGGUCAGUGUGGAUGACUUUGGGUUGUAUUGUGACUGCAAUGGACAGCUAGGAGAAGGGAGAUAGCAGCCAGGUGCUGGAUUGAUUGUGCUAGAAAACAUCAUACAGACCAGUGAGUUCUUGGAAAACAGUUGAAUGGGAGGCAGAGGUGAGAGAUAGAAGAGAGGGAGGGAGGAAGGAGGGAGAGAGAAUGUGGAUAGAUUUAAAUUAAUUUUCUUCUUACUGGUUUCUGGCAGCAGUUCAGAUGAAAUGAUUAAAAACGAUGGUAGCUAAACCCAAUGUACAGAUUUAACCCUAUAACCCCAGUACUUGGGAGGUUAAGGGAGUAGGGUUGUAGGUUCAAGAGUAGUCUGGAGUACAUAAGACUUUAUCUCAGAAAGAAAUACAAAUAUCAACAUUAAAAUAAUAGUAGUUUAUUUGAAUAGUAUCCUAACGGCAGGAAUUAUGAUUUGCUGAUGGGCUCAGGGCAGAGGUUGGGGAAUGCCAGAGGGGUUAGAAACUGUGAUGGAGUCACUAUCGACUCUGGGACUAGGCCAGAGGUCAGGCUACAUAGAAAGGUCAGUAGGAAGCACUUAAGUAAGCCAAGACAAAGCUUUGUCUUCAAAUACUAAGAAUAACAAAAAUAUGUUAAACAAGACUUGAAGCUGCAGAUUGGAGGAUUGUGUUCUAGAGAGAAAUCACCCUGGCUAUCACAAGGAAACUGCUAACAUGAAGAGAAGAAUGGAUACGGGAAGAUUUCCAAGAAAGUUGGGAAAGAAAUGAUAAUGGCUUUGUUUGUUUGGUAGCCAUGGAGACACAAAGAAAUGGGUGCAUCAGGAAGCUAUUUACAGACUCUGCUGGCCGGAGUCCGUGGUAGCUGGACAUGAGCAGAGUGAGGGGGAAGGAUGAGGUAUGAUCCUGGAAAGAUGCUCCUAGUACGAUGGCUGAUAGAUGCCAGAGGAUGAGAACCUGUGGAAUUCUUCCAGACUAAUGUGGUUUGAUG